AUGUUUUUGUCAAUUGUUUCGGAAUCCCUGUAUCGCGGAUCAAAAUUAUUUUUACGCUGCACCAAUCUCUCUACCGGCUUUAGAUUAAUCUCAUCGAGCUUUGAGCGAUGAACAUGGCGAUAAGAGAUUGGCAUGCUUGUUGAUGCCAGAUUCUUCACUAGGUGAUACUCCAUCAUAAAUCUGUACUACCCAAACUUGUAAGCCCGC